AUAGGAUCUAGACCUGGCAUAUCUUCAUACGACCAUGCAAAAAUAUCCGGAUAUUCCCGGAGGAGCUGGAUGAUCUUCUUUUUAACCCCUUCCUCUAGAGCAGCACCGAUCUUGAUUUCACGCUUGUUCUCCUCGGUACCUAUGUUGAUAAGCUCAAUCUCUUCCUGG
rnacentral:pre_miRNA from 1 species